AGCGAACGCUGGCGGCAGGCCUAAUACAUGCAAGUCGAGCGGGUCCUUCGGGAUUAGCGGCGGACGGGUGAGUAACGCGUGGGAACGUGCCCUUUGGUACGGGAACAACUGAGGGAAACUUCAGCUAAUACCGUAUGUGCCCUUCGGGGAAAGGAUUUAUCGCCAUUGGAGCGGCCCGCGUUGGAUUAGGUAGUUGGUGAGGUAAAGGCUCACCAAGCCUACGAUCCAUAGCUGGUCUGAGAGGAUGACCAGCCACACUGGGACUGAGACACGGCCCAGACUCCUACGGGAGGCAGCAGUAGGGAAUCUUGCGCAAUGGGCGAAAGCCUGACGCAGCCAUGCCGCGUGAAUGAUGAAGGUCUUAGGAUUGUAAAUUACUUUCUACCGGGACGGAGUAAUAGACGGUACCGGACGAAGAAG
rnacentral:rRNA from 1 species